rnacentral:ncRNA from 2 species
CUCUUAUAAAGAGCGGCGGAGGGACUGGCCCUGUGAAGCCCGGCAACCAUUCUUGUUUGACGAAACAAGAACAGGUGCUAAAUCCUGCAAAAUACUGUUGUAUUUUGAAAGAUAAGAG